rnacentral:rRNA from 1 species
AGUGAACGCUGGCGGUAGGCCUAACACAUGCAAGUCGAACGGCAGCACAGUAAGAGCUUGCUCUUACGGGUGGCGAGUGGCGGACGGGUGAGGAAUACAUCGCAAUCUACUUUUUCGUGGGGGAUAACGUAGGGAAACUUACGCUACUACCGCAUACGACCUACGGGUGAAAGCAGGGGAUCUUCGGACCUUGCGCGAUUGAAUGAGCCGAUGUCGGAUUAGCUAGUUGGCGGGGUAAAGGCCCACCAAGGCGACGAUCCGUAGCUGGUCUGAGAGGAUGAUCAGCCACACUGGAACUGAGACACGGUCCAGACUCCUACGGGAGGCAGCAGUGGGGAAUAUUGGACAAUGGGCGCAAGCCUGAUCCAGCCAUACCGCGUGGGUGAAGAAGGCCUUCGGGUUGUAAAGCCCUUUUGUUGGGAAAGAAAAGCAGCAGGUUAAUACCCCGCUGUUCUGACGGUACCCAAAGAAUAAGCACCGGCUAACUUCGUG